rnacentral:rRNA from 1 species
GUCCACACCCUAACGAUGAAUACUAGAUGUUGGGGAUUCGACCCCUCAGCGUCGCAGCUAACGCAGUAAGUAUUCCACCUGGGAAGUACGAUCGCAAGGUUGAAACUCAAAGGAAUUGACGGGGCCCGCACAAGCAGUGGAGCAUGUGGUUUAAUUCGAUGCAACGCGAAGAACCUUACCGGGGCUUGAACUGCUGUGGACCAUCCCGAGAAACCGGGACUUCCCGCAAGGGACUGCAGUAGAGGUGCUGCAUGGCUGUCGU